GAUGAACGCUAGCGGCAGGCUUAAUACAUGCAAGUCGAGGGGCAGCGGGUGUAGCAAUACAUGCCGGCGACCGGCGCACGGGUGCGUAACGCGUAUGUAACCUACCUUUAACUGGAGGAUAGCCCCGAGAAAUCGGGAUUAAUACUCCAUAAAAUUAUGAGAAGGCAUCUUUUAUAAUUAAAGCUCCGGCGGUUUUAGAUGGGCAUGCGUGACAUUAGCUAGUUGGUGAGGUAACGGCUCACCAAGGCUCCGAUGUCUAGGGGUUCUGAGAGGAUUAACCCCCACACUGGUACUGAGACACGGACCAGACUCCUACGGGAGGCAGCAGUAAGGAAUAUUGGGC
rnacentral:rRNA from 1 species